ACUCACGCGGGAAUCUUACCGGGUCCGGACACACUGAGGAUUGACAGACAAAUACACACACUUUUACGGUGUGUGCAUGAAAUAUGCUAGUUCUUUCAUGAUUAUGUGAUAGGUGGUGCAUGGCCGUUCUUAGUUCGUGGAGUGAUCUGUCUGCUUAAUUGCGUUUCACUAAAGGCACAUACACAUAAUAUUGAUGUGUUGUGUAUAAUUUAUAUUAUACGCAUACUCAUAUUAUAUUGUGCUUUGAAAGCAACGAACGUGACCGCAACCUCUUGUUGCCUGUAUAUAUGUGUAUUUUAUACACACCACAGGCUAUUAUAAACUAGAGGGACCGCUGUUACUUUCUUUUAAACCAGAGGAAGGUUGCGGCAAUAACAGGUCUGUGAUGCCCUUAGAUGUUCCGGGCUGCACACGUGCUACAAUGAUCAUUGCAGUGCGCAUCUCAUUUUGUUAUACACUGCUUGUGCGUAUGUGCAUCACAUAUAUAUUUAUAUAUGUGUGUGUGUAUGUAUUGCACGCAGUAAAGCCUACUUCGAAAGUUGUGGGUAAUCAAUUUGAAGUAAUGAUUUCUCCAAAUAUAUACUGCACACUCAUAUACAGUGUCUUAUGUCCAUGAAAAUAUUUUAUAUUUUUGUGUGUGCAUUCGAUGCUCGUAUGUGCAAUUGUCAAUUCAUGGUGGGGACAGACCAUUGUUAAUUGUUGGUCUCGGUCUUAACUAGGAAUGCCUUGUACGGGUCUUUGGUUCAACAAACCACCCGGAAUACGUCCCUGCCCUUUGUACACACCGCCCGUCGCUCUUACCGAUGGACUUCUCUGUGAGUUUGAGGGACUGGAUUUUAUAUCUAUGGAAACUCAAACGAACAGUGUGGUCUAAAGGAAAGAGAAGUCGUAACAAGGCAUCCGUAGGUGAACCU
rnacentral:rRNA from 1 species